rnacentral:rRNA from 1 species
AGCUCCAAUAGCGUAUAUUAAAGUUGUUGCAGUUAAAAAGCUCGUAGUUGGAUUUCGGAGUGGGCCAGUUGGUCCGCCGCAAGGUGUGUUACUGACUGGUUUGCUCUUCUUCGCAAAGACUGCGUGUGCUCUUUGUUGAGUGUGCGUAGGAUUUACGACGUUUACUUUGAAAAAAUUAGAGUGUUCAAAGCAGGCUAUUGCUUGAAUACAUGAGCAUGGAAUAAUGGAAUAGGACUUUGGUCCCAUUUUGUUGGUUUCUAGGACCGAAGUAAUGAUUAAGAGGGACAAUUGGGGGCAUCCGUAUUUCGUUGUCAGAGGUGAAAUUCUUGGAUUUACGAAAGACGAACAACUGCGAAAGCACUUGCCAAGAGUGUUUUCA